CAGUAGCCACGGGAAAACGGAGGGAGCUAGCGUUAUUCGGAAUUACUGGGCGUAAAGCGCACGUAGGCGGCUUUGUAAGUCAGGGGUGAAAUCCUGGAGCUCAACUCCAGAACUGCCUUUGAUACUGAAGAUCUUGAGUUCGGGAGAGGUGAGUGGAACUGCGAGUGCAGAGGCGAAAUUCGUAGAUAUUCGCAAGAACACCAGUGGCGAAGGCGGCUCACUGGCCCGGUACUGACGCUGAGGCACGAAAGCGUGGGGAGCAAACAGGAUUAGAUACCCCGGUAGUCCCUGUCUCUUAUAC
rnacentral:rRNA from 1 species